UAGAGUUUGAUCAUGGCUCAGAUUGAACGCUGGCGGCAUGCUUUACACAUGCAAGUCGAACGGUAACAGGGAGCUUGCUCCGCUGACGAGUGGCGAACGGGUGAGUAAUGCAUCGGAACGUACCCAGUCGUGGGGGAUAACGUAGCGAAAGUUACGCUAAUACCGCAUACGUCCUGAGGGAGAAAGCGGGGGACCGUAAGGCCUCGCGCGAUUGGAGCGGCCGAUGUCGGAUUAGCUAGUUGGUAGGGUAAAGGCCUACCAAGGCGACGAUCCGUAGCGGGUCUGAGAGGAUGAUCCGCCACACUGGGACUGAGACACGGCCCAGACUCCUACGGGAGGCAGCAGUGGGGAAUUUUGGACAAUGGGCGAAAGCCUGAUCCAGCCAUGCCGCGUGAGUGAAGAAGGCCUUCGGGUUGUAAAGCUCUUUCAGCCGGAAAGAAAUCGCGCAGGAUAAUACUCUGCGUGGAUGACGGUACCGGAAGAAGAAGCACCGGCUAACUACGUGCCAGCAGCCGCGGUAAU
rnacentral:rRNA from 1 species